GUGCUCGCUUUGUCAUUACAUAUACUAAAACUGGAAUGAUACAGAGAUUAGUGUGGUCCCUGCAUAAGGGAUGAUACCCAACUUUGUGAGGCAUUCCAUAAUUUU